AGGUGAUAUGAACCGUUAUAACCGGCGAUUUCCGAAUGGGGAAACCCAGUGUGUUUCGACACACUAUCAUUAACUGAAUCCAUAGGUUAAUGAGGCGAACCGGGGGAACUGAAACAUCUAAGUACCCCGAGGAAAAGAAAUCAACCGAGAUUCCCCCAGUAGCGGCGAGCGAACGGGGAGGAGCCCAGAGCCUGAAUCAGUGUGUGUGUUAGUGGAAGCGUCUGGAAAGGCGCGCGAUACAGGGUGACAGCCCCGUACACAAAAAUGCACAUAUUGUGAGCUCGAUGAGUAGGGCGGGACACGUGGUAUCCUGUCUGAAUAUGGGGGGACCAUCCUCCAAGGCUAAAUACUCCUGACUGACCGAUAGUGAACCAGUACCGUGAGGGAAAGGCGAAAAGAACCCCGGCGAGGGGAGUGAAAAAGAACCUGAAACCGUGUACGUACAAGCAGUGGGAGCCUCUUUAUGGGGUGACUGCGUACCUUUUGUAUAAUGGGUCAGCGACUUAUAUUCUGUAGCAAGGUUAACCGAAUAGGGGAGCCGAAGGGAAACCGAGUCUUAACUGGGCGUUAAGUUGCAGGGUAUAGACCCGAAACCCGGUGAUCUAGCCAUGGGCAGGUUGAAGGUUGGGUAACACUAACUGGAGGACCGAACCGACUAAUGUUGAAAAAUUAGCGGAUGACUUGUGGCUGGGGGUGAAAGGCCAAUCAAACCGGGAGAUAGCUGGUUCUCCCCGAAAGCUAUUUAGGUAGCGCCUCGUGAAUUCAUCUCCGGGGGUAGAGCACUGUUUCGGCAAGGGGGUCAUCCCGACUUACCAACCCGAUGCAAACUGCGAAUACCGGAGAAUGUUAUCACGGGAGACACACGGCGGGUGCUAACGUCCGUCGUGAAGAGGGAAACAACCCAGACCGCCAGCUAAGGUCCCAAAGUCAUGGUUAAGUGGGAAACGAUGUGGGAAGGCCCAGACAGCCAGGAUGUUGGCUUAGAAGCAGCCAUCAUUUAAAGAAAGCGUAAUAGCUCACUGGUCGAGUCGGCCUGCGCGGAAGAUGUAACGGGGCUAAACCAUGCACCGAAGCUGCGGCAGCGACACUAUGUGUUGUUGGGUAGGGGAGCGUUCUGUAAGCCUGUGAAGGUGGCCUGUGAGGGUUGCUGGAGGUAUCAGAAGUGCGAAUGCUGACAUAAGUAACGAUAAAGCGGGUGAAAAGCCCGCUCGCCGGAAGACCAAGGGUUCCUGUCCAACGUUAAUCGGGGCAGGGUGAGUCGACCCCUAAGGCGAGGCCGAAAGGCGUAGUCGAUGGGAAACAGGUUAAUAUUCCUGUACUUGGUGUUACUGCGAAGGGGGGACGGAGAAGGCUAUGUUGGCCGGGCGACGGUUGUCCCGGUUUAAGCGUGUAGGCUGGUUUUCCAGGCAAAUCCGGAAAACCAAGGCUGAGGCGUGAUGACGAGGCACUACGGUGCUGAAGCGACAAAUGCCCUGCUUCCAGGAAAAGCCUCUAAGCAUCAGGUAACAUCAAAUCGUACCCCAAACCGACACAGGUGGUCAGGUAGAGAAUACCAAGGCGCUUGAGAGAACUCGGGUGAAGGAACUAGGCAAAAUGGUGCCGUAACUUCGGGAGAAGGCACGCUGAUAUGUAGGUGAAGCGACUUGCUCGUGGAGCUGAAAUCAGUCGAAGAUACCAGCUGGCUGCAACUGUUUAUUAAAAACACAGCACUGUGCAAACACGAAAGUGGACGUAUACGGUGUGACGCCUGCCCGGUGCCGGAAGGUUAAUUGAUGGGGUUAGCGGUAACGCGAAGCUCUUGAUCGAAGCCCCGGUAAACGGCGGCCGUAACUAUAACGGUCCUAAGGUAGCGAAAUUCCUUGUCGGGUAAGUUCCGACCUGCACGAAUGGCGUAAUGAUGGCCAGGCUGUCUCCACCCGAGACUCAGUGAAAUUGAACUCGCUGUGAAGAUGCAGUGUACCCGCGGCAAGACGGAAAGACCCCGUGAACCUUUACUAUAGCUUGACACUGAACAUUGAGCCUUGAUG
rnacentral:rRNA from 1 species